rnacentral:misc_RNA from 1 species
GAUGAAGAACGCAGCGAAAUGCGAUAGGUAGUGUGAAUUGCAGAAUUCAGUGAAUCAUCGAAUCUUUGAACGCACAUUGCGCCCCUUGGUAUCCCGAGGGGCAUGCCUGUUCGAGCGUCAUUUCACCACUCAAGCCUGGCUUGGUGUUGGGCGACGUCCCCUUUGGGGACGCGCCUCGAAACGCUCGGCGGCGUGGCACCGGCUUUAAGCGUAGCAGAAUCUUUCGCUUUGGAAGUCGGGGCCCCGUCUGCCGGAAGACCUACUCGCAAGGUUGACCUCGGAUCAGGCAGGGAUACCCGCUGAACUUAAGCAUAUCAAUAAGCGGAGGA